rnacentral:rRNA from 1 species
CCUACGGGAGGCAGCAGUGAGGAAUAUUGGUCAAUGGGCGCGAGCCUGAACCAGCCAAGUCGCGUGAGGGAAGACGGUCCUAUGGAUUGUAAACCUCUUUUGUCGGGGAGCAAAAGACGCCACGCGUGGCGUUCCGAGAGUACCCGAAGAAAAAGCAUCGGCUAACUCCGUGCCAGCAGCCGCGGUAAUACGGAGGAUGCGAGCGUUAUCCGGAUUUAUUGGGUUUAAAGGGUGCGCAGGCGGAAGAUCAAGUCAGCGGUAAAAUUGAGAGGCUCAACCUUUGAGAGCCGUUGAAACUGGGUUUCUUGAGUGAGUGAGAGGUAGGCGGAAUGCGUGGUGUAGCGGUGAAAUGCAUAGAUAUCACGCAGAACUCCGAUUGCGAAGGCAGCAUGCCGGCGCUCGACUGACGCUCAUGCACGAAAGUGUGGGGAUCGAACAGGAUUAGAUACCCCAGUAGUC